GACGAACGCUGGCGGCGUGCCUAAUACAUGCAAGUCGAACGCAGUGGGGACGGGUUCUUAACACGUGGGUAACCUCGCAUCAGAGGGGAUAACACUUGGAAACAGGUGCUAAACCGAUACUGAUUGAUGUACCCGCGGUGCAUUAGCUAGUUGGUGAGGUACCGGCUAACCAAGGCCACGAUGCAUAGCCGACCGGAGAGGGUGAGCGGCCACACGGGGACUGAGACACGGCCCAGACUCCUACGGGAGGCAGCAGUAGGGAAUCUUCGGCAAUGGACGAAAGUCUGACCGAGCAACGCCGCGUGAGUGAAGAAGGUUUUCGGAUCGUAAAACUCUGUUGUUAGAGAAGCGGUAUCUAACCAGAAAGCCACGGCUAACUACGUGCCAGCAGCCGCGGUAAUAC
rnacentral:rRNA from 1 species